rnacentral:rRNA from 1 species
CAGUCGCCACGGGAACACCAGCACCUCGAGUGGUCAGGAGGUUUAUUGGGCCUAAAGCAUCCGUAGCCGGUUGCAUAAGUUUUCGGUUAAAUCUAUGCGCUUAACGUAUAGGCCGCCGAAAAUACUGUGCAGCUAGGGAGUGGGAGAGGUACACGGUACUCGAUAGGAAGGGGUAAAAUCCUUUGAUCUAUUGAUGACUACCUGUGGCGAAGGCGGUGUACCAGAACACGUUCGACGGUGAGGGAUGAAAGCUGGGGGAGCAAACCGGAUUAGAUACCCGCGUAGUCCCUGUCUCUUAUAC